rnacentral:rRNA from 1 species
UACAGAGGGUGCUAGCGUUGUUCGGAAUUACUGGGCGUAAAGGGCGUGUAGGCGGUUGCGUAAGUCAGAUGUUAAAGACCUGGGCUUAACCUAGGGGAUGCGUUUGAUACUGCGUGACUAGAGAGCAGGAGGGGAGAGUGGAAUUUCCGGUGUAGAGGUUAAAUUCGUAGAUAUCGGAAGGAACACCAGUGGCGAAGGCGACUCUCUGGACUGUGUCUGACGCUGAGGCGCGAAAGCGUGGGGAGCAAACAGG